rnacentral:rRNA from 1 species
UACGUAGGUGGCGAGCGUUGUCCGGAAUUACUGGGCGUAAAGGGUGCGUAGGCGGUGAUGUAAGUCAGAUGUGAAAUUCCGGGGCUCAACUUCGGAAUUGCAUUUGAAACUGUGUGACUAGAGUGCAGGAGAGGGAAGCGGAAUUCCUAGUGUAGCGGUGAAAUGCGUAGAUAUUAGGAAGAACACCAGUGGCGAAGGCGGCUUUCUGGACUGUAACUGACGCUGAUGCACGAAAGCGUGGGGAGCAAACAGG